rnacentral:sRNA from 1 species
GGUUACACGUAUCUGGGAAGCAGCCUAGUUCGAAUUUAGUUGCAGGUGUGCCUAUCUCCAAAGUCAAGCUCUUAACACCCUGUACAACCUAAAGACUAGUGCCAUUUGUAUAUAUUCCACAUUAGUUUAAAAAAAAUCAGAAAUGCCUGUGUUCUCUUUUGUAGAUAUACUUUGCCCAUACAGCCCUGAAGUGGAUAGAGAGAGCUAAUAUGGAUGGUUCCCAGCGAGAAAGGCUUAUUGAGGAAGGAGUAGAUGUGCCAGAAGGUCUUGCUGUGGACUGGAUUGGCCGUAGAUUCUAUUGGACAGACAGAGGGAAAUCUCUGAUUGGAAGGAGUGAUUUAAAUGGGAAACGUUCCAAAAUAAUCACUAAGGAGAACAUCUCUCAACCACGAGGAAUUGCUGUUCAUCCAAUGGCCAAGAGAUUAUUCUGGACUGAUACAGGGAUUAAUCCACGAAUUGAAAGUUCUUCCCUCCAAGGCCUUGGCCGACUGGUUAUAGCCAGCUCUGAUCUAAUCUGGCCCAGUGGAAUAACGAUUGACUUCUUAACUGACAAGUUGUAUUGGUGCGAUGCCAAGCAG